GGGAAAGCCCAGCCCCAGUGGUACAGUGCUCACCUGGAGCUCACUGCAGUGCCUGAUGGAGGUUUGUGGCUCUGAGAUGAAGGCGUGCUGCUCAGGUGAAAUGCCCUGUGAUGUGUGAAGAUCUCAGCUACACCUCAGAUCAAAGGCAGGGGAAGAGGGAAUGCAUAGAAUAAGCGAUCCCUGCAGUGACGGCACACCAGCUUUCCUUUGGAAGCUUCCUCCUAUGGAGUGACCUUUCCUUUUUAUCCACAGUCCUGGCUCCCGACCUGAUUCUGUACUGCUCAGUACCUCCUGUGGGCGCUGACAUCUGAGCAUGGCAAAGUGCUGCUGUUCCACUUUCUCUGCC
rnacentral:lncRNA from 1 species